CGCCUUCUCCAUGGACGCCGCCGCGUCCGCUCGACGGGAGCAGCCGCCGAGAAGACGGUUCGAUCUCGGAGCAUUGUGUUUUGAGUGGGUGCUGAUGCUGGUGCGCUGCUGCUGCUGCUCUUGGAGGCCGGCGUCCGGGCACAGCUCUGCUAGUCGAUGAUGUACCGAUGAGACGCGACUGCCGGACUGCGAUGCUGGUCAUCCAUGCAAUAUGUGCCAAGCUUGCUGUGACUGUUUAUUCACGAGUGUCAAGACUUUGCUUUGUCGUUGUUGCGUUUGCGUGACUGUCCGUGCAGAAAAUGUUACGGUAACGGUAAUCAUAACCAGCGAACAUUCGCCGCAAUUUUGGGCGAAAACGUAAGUGCGGCGGAGUUGCCAUGCCCACUGACUAAAAUCGUCAUGCUCGCUAGCACAAAAUGCCGUAAAAAAUGUCAUCACUCUUUCGCUGGCUA